GCGAGUAUGCUGGAAUUGGUAUACAGGCACGUUUGAGGGGCGUGUGUCUUAGACGUAUGGGUUCAAGUCCCAUUACUCGCACCA
rnacentral:tRNA from 1 species